rnacentral:tRNA from 1 species
ACUACAGUAGCUCAGUGGUAGAGCUAUCGGCUGUUAACCGAUCGGUCGUAGGUUCGAGUCCUACCUGUGGAGCCA